GUUAAUCUAAUAAUUUUUCGAAAACAACUCUCCUUAUUCAUUUUGUAAAAAAAUUCAAUGCUUCAAUAUACGAUUGUGAAAUGACUUACAUGAUAAUGCUUUAAAGGGACUUAAUUACAUUCUCCAAUCUUUUCAGCAUCAAAAUCCACUAUUUUGGACGUUCAGCCUCAUGACGAUGGCGAACUUGCCGACGGUCAUGGCACUGGCCCUCAU
rnacentral:lncRNA from 1 species